GUACUUUGACAGCACAUAUACUAAAACUGGAACAAUAUAGAGAAGAUUAGCAUGGUCUCCUGCAAAGAUAACACACAUGAGACAUUCCAUAUUUUU
ensembl:snRNA U6 U6 spliceosomal RNA